UACGGGGGGGGCAAGCGUUGUUCGGAAUUACUGGGCGUAAAGCGUGCGCAGGCGGUUAUGUAAGACAGAUGUGAAAUGCCCGGGCUUAACCUGGGAACUGCAUUUGUGACUGCAUGGCUAGAGUGUGUCAGAGGGGGGUAGAAUUCCACGUGUAGCAGUGAAAUGCGUAGAUAUGUGGAGGAACACCGAUGGCGAAGGCAGCCCCCUGGGAUAACACUGACGCUCAUGCACGAAAGCGUGGGGAGCAAACAGG
rnacentral:rRNA from 1 species